AGAGAGAGACAUGCGCGCAUAUCAAUAAGCGGAGGAAAAGAAACUAACAAGGAUUCCCUUAGUAACGGCGAGUGAAGCGGGAAGAGCUCAAAUUUGAAAUCUUCAAGGUUUUACCUUGACGAAUUGUAGUUUAAAGAAGUGUUUUCUGUUGGAGUUUUGGUAAAAGUUCUUUGGAAUAGGACAUCAUAGAGGGUGAGAAUCCCGUAUUUGGUCAUUCCUCCUAGCGUUGUGAUACACUUUCAAAGAGUCGGAUUGUUUGGGAAUGCAGUCCAAGAUGGGUGGUAAAUUUCAUCUAAAGCUAAAUAUUGGCGAGAGACCGAUAGCGAACAAGUACCGUGAGGGAAAGAUGAAAAGAACUUUGAAAAGAGAGUUAAACAGUACGUGAAAUUGUCAAAAGGGAAGCGUUUGACACCAGUGUUGUUUUUCCGAAAAUCAAUUACGAAUGUUUUGUUUUUGAGGAGUUAUGACUUCAUCGGCUUGCUCCUUUCUUUACGAAACUUUCUUAAUGCACUUUUCGGUUAACAAGUCAACAUCAAUUUCUUUUGUUGUAAAAGGGUAUGAGGAAGGUGGCUUUCUUUUCGGAGAAAGUGUUUAUAGCCUUUUACCUCUGCAAUCGGAGAGAUUGAGGUCUGCAGCGUAGAUCCUUCGGGGUUAGAUACACUUUGUGCUAAGUUAUAGCUUGUCAUAGACAACUUGUUGACUAUGUUUAGUCAUUGUAGCUUACUCGCUUGUGCUAUUUUACCUACGCUUAGGAUGUUGAUCUGUAGUGCGUGCGC
rnacentral:rRNA from 1 species